rnacentral:tRNA from 1 species
GGAGGGAUUCCCGAGUGGCCAAAGGGGGCAGACUGUAAAUCUGUUGGCACCGCCUUCGAAGGUUCGAAUCCUUCUCCCUCCA